UGCGCACGGGCUUCUUUGUGCACGUGGCGUGACUACUAAGUUCUACCUGCACGGAAAUUCAUUGAGCGGAUGUGAAUGCAUUCCUGCGCCGGCAAAAUUAAAUUAUUUGAGCGGAUUAUGUUUUUGCUCGUGUAUGUCUUUUGACCUAAAUAAAAUUCCAGAGACCACCAUCAUUAAGGUCGCACAGUGAGAGCGCUCCUGGCUGAACCAGAGUAAUUAGAGAAAUCUCCCCAUAUAAACCAAAGAGACUUCGGCUUGUAAGUUGUCAGCCUUUUUGACACACAUCAGGCAAGCUGGGCUCUCAACCUGGCCAGGCAUUCCCUCGACCACCUGCUGAAACAUGUCUGCAACAUGGACUCAGACAAACGUUUACCGGCUGGCUGACUGGAGGAUUCACCCCUUACCUGAUGAGAUGGUGCAGUAUGCCCGGGCAGACACCCACUACCUUCUUUCUAUCUAUGACUGUGUGAGGGCACAGCUGCUGGACUUCAACCAUGGACAGCCAGGCUUGCUGCAGUGUCUGGAACAAGAGCAAAAACGUUUCCCUCAAGGUAAACUGAUGUCAGUUGGUGCAGGUGAGUGGAGAGAGAGGUUUCCUUCAUUUGCAGGUAAGUUGAAAGGUAAGUCAUUAACUAGAUGUAACAGGUUCCGAUGUAGGGUGCGGGUUCUGCUAUCUCCACUUUCUCGACACACUUUGUACACGGGUCCACUAUUCACCUGCUCCAUAACGAUGUAGAUAGUGUCUUCCCAAUAAGAUCUUAGUUUUCCUGGGCCUCCCCUCUCACUCAGGUUACGGACUAGCACACGGUCACCUGGCUGAAGAUUAACUCCUUUCACAUGACGAUCAUAGUAUUGUUUUCCUCUAGCGCUUGAAUGACAGCUGUUCUUGGAAGCAAGCUUGUAUGCCUCUUUCAUCCUUGCUGCCCACUUUUCUGCAUAUCCCCUUGGAGACAUGGGUUCUUCCUCCUCCGCCAAGCCAAAUAGAAGAUCUACAGGCAACCGAGGAUGGCGUCCAUACAGUAAGUAGAAUGGUGAAUACCCCGUUGCCUCAUGCCUUGUACAAUUGUAGGCAUGGACCAUCUGGGGCAAGUGCUCUUUCCACUUUCUCUUUUCCUUAUCCGUCAGGGUUCGAAGUAGUUGCA